rnacentral:rRNA from 1 species
GACGAACCGUGCGAACGUUGUUCGGAAUCACUGGGCUUAAAGGGCGCGUAGGCGGUUUGCCAAGUCAGGGGUGAAAUCCUGCAGCUCAACUGUAGAAGUGCCUUUGAUACUGGCGAACUCGAGGGAGGUAGGGGUGGGUGGAAUUCCUGGUGUAGCGGUGAAAUGCGCAGAUAUCAGGAGGAACACCGGUGGCGAAGGCGGUGAUCUGGGCCGGUACUGACGCUGAGGAGCGAAAGCGUGGGGAGCGAACAGAUGAUGAUACCUCGU